UUACCUAGGUUUGACAUCCGGAAGACCUUCCCGAAAAGGAAGGUGGCCCUUCGGGGAAUUCCGAGACAGGUGCUGCAUGGCUGUCGUCAGCUCGUGCCGUGAGGUGUGGUUAAGUCCCGCAACGAGCGCAACCCUAUUGCCAGUUGCUACCAGGUAAUGCUGGGCACUCUGGUGAGACUGCCCCGGUUAACGGGGAGGAAGGUGGGACGACGUCAAGUCAUCAUGGCCCUUACGCCUAGGGCUACACACGUACUACAAUGGCGCAUACAAAGGGCAGCGAUACCGCGAGGUGGAGCCAAUCCCAAAAAGUGCGUCCCAGUCCGGAUUGCAGUCUGCAACUCGACUGCAUGAAGUUGGAAUCGCUAGUAAUUCGAGAUCAGCAUGCUCGGGUGAAUGCGUUCCCGGGCCUU
rnacentral:rRNA from 1 species